GACGAACGCUGGCGGCGUGCUUAACACAUGCAAGUCGAACGGAAAGGCCCUGCUUCUGUGGGGUGCUCGAGUGGCGAACGGGCGAGUAACAAGUGAGUAACCUGCCCUUGACUUUGGGAGAACUUCAGGAAACUGGGGUUAAUACCGGAUAGUAGCUCCUGCUGCCUGGAGGGGGUGGGAAAGUUUCGGCGGUUGGGGAUGGACUCGCGGCUUAUCAGCUUGUUGGUGGGGUAGUGGCUUACCAAGGCUUUGACGGGUCGCCGGCCUGAGAGGGUGACCGGCCACAUUGGGACUGAGAGACGGCCCAGACUCCAACGGGAGGCAGCAGUGGGGAAUAUUGCACAAUGGGCGGAAGCCUGAUGCAGCAACGCCGCGUGCGGGAUGACGGCCUUCGGGUUGUAAACCGCUUUCGCCUGUGACGAAGCGUGAGUGACGGUAAUGGGUAAAGAAGCACCGGCUAACUACGUG
rnacentral:rRNA from 1 species